AUUGAACGCUGGCGGCAGGCCUAAAACAUGCAAGUCGAACGAGUGGCGGACGGGUGAGUAAUGUCUGGGAAACUGCCUGAUGGAGGGGGAUAACUACUGGAAAGGGUAGCUAAUACCGCAUACCAUCGGAUGUGCCCAGAUGGGAUUAGCGAGUAGGUGGGGUAACGGCUCACCUAGGCGACGAUCCCUAGCUGGUCUGAGAGGAUGACCAGCCACACUUGAACGGAGACACGGUCCAGACUCCUACGGGAGGCAGCAGUGGGUAAUAUUGCACAAUGGGCGCAAGCCUGAUGCAGCCAUGCAGCGUGUAUGAAGAAGGCCUUCGGGUUGUAAAGUUCUUUCAGCGGGGAGGCGUUACCCGCAGAAGAAGCACCGGCUAACUCCGUGCCAGCCGCCGCGGUAAUUC
rnacentral:rRNA from 1 species